CUCCACCACUUCCACCUCGGCUAAAGGAGACCGCUUCCUCCCCGCUCCCGCCCUCCCUCUCUCUCACACACACACAUCCGCCGUGCUACAGGCCAGGCGCUCCCUCCCCUACCUCGUCUCGCCCUCUCAGUGUCGGGUUACAGCGACACAAGGGCCCUGCCUGUCUGAACCACGACUUUGACAAAGAUAAUAUUACAGGAGCCCGAACACAAUUCCCACUUGUACCAUCUCCUGCAGGACCAGAAGCCCACGCGCCUCGAGGUCGGCAGCAAAUAACAUUAGCUCACUGUUCGCUCAAGCCGCUACAAAGCCAGGAGAGAGAGAGAGGAAGAGAGAGCGAGACAGAUAGAGAGCAACCAUCGUCGGAGUGGGCCUACAGCCAACCGGGAUGGAGUCCGGGUGGGGACCUGCGCAGAUGGGGGAACGCCGUCCGAGAGUCCUCCUGUCUGACCAGCAAUGGGCCGUCCGCCAUCUUGUUUCCGACCAGAGAGGUUCAGCCGGCUUCAGCGAUCGCUAAAAGACGGAAACACGGACUAGCUGAACAUGAUGACUACAUAUUUUACUCAUGA
ensembl:lncRNA